rnacentral:rRNA from 1 species
UACGGAGGAGGCAAGCGUUAUCCGGAAUUAUUGGGCGUAAAGCGUCCGUAGGUGGCUAGUCAAGUCUGCGGUCAAAGACUGGGGCUUAACCCUGGAAAGGCCGUGAAACUGACGAGCUAGAGUGCAGUAGGGGUAGAGGGAAUUCCCGGUGUAGCGGUGAAAUGCGUAGAGCUCGGGAAGAACAUCGGUGGCGAAAGCGCUCUACUGGACUGCAACUGACACUCAGGGACGAAAGCUAGGGGAGCGAAUGGG